ensembl:processed_transcript
AGACGGGACAACGACCAGGGACAGUGAGCAGGAAUACCAGUCAGCUGGUGGCUGCCGCUGCUACAACCGACCCAGCCACAGCUGAAAUACCCUCAACCUGGGCAGUGACUACUGUGCUCUACACAGUCAGCGGCUGAAGGGCAGUCACGGGCCAGCCAUUGAAAAUGCUCACGGUACACAUCCCUGCUGACCUUCCCCAAGACCAUGGAGAGGCAGCUGAGUCCUUAGUUUGAGGAAGACAGGAUAACAGCCUGUUCCCGCUGGGAGAGCUGCUAGAGGCCAGUGAGAUGGAGAGAGAGGCUUGCAGAGGUCACUGAUCAAUGGGGCGGAACGCACAACAGUAAACGCCCCCGCCGCGACCAAUCAGCGAUUGCCGCACACCUCUGCCUUGGCCAAUCCACAGCGGUCUUGCAGUUCCACCCCCUUACCUAGGGUGUGAGGAAGCUGGGGCGCCCCGUGCCCAACCUGGGGAGUGUCCAGAGCCUGUUCCUCCCCCAGCACACCCCCGCGGUGUCCUUCAGCUCCAAACUAAGGAAAACAAAUGCCAGCCUCCUCCCUCUGACCCACAUGUCUCAACUCUAUGCCGCCUUACAGCGUUCAAGAGUCUUCUGCCAGCCUCUGUCACUAUUGCACUGGCAAAGAGAGCAAAACUCCUCUCCCCUAAGGGCCAAAAAUAAAGCCGGCUCUAUUGCGCCUCCUUCAUUAUCUUCCAGUUGACACUUUAAUUCUUCCCAGUGAGCGUUUUAAUUAGCACAGAGGUGAAGCGGAAGUGUGCUCCCUGGAGACAGGAGUUGGUGUCUCUCGCGCCUGCUGCGAGGCCUCUGAGAGAUAGAGUUCUUUGGAGUCAAGAAUGCACGUGGACUAAGUAUCUGAGGAGGAAGCAAUGCUAGUGUGGACAGAACAGGAAAUAAAUGUCUUUUUUUCUGG